rnacentral:rRNA from 1 species
GUGCCAGCAGCCGCGGUAAUACGUAGGUGGCCAAGCGUUAUCCGGAAUUAUUGGGCGUAAAGCGCGCGUAGGCGGCUUUCUUAAGUCUGAUGUGAAAGCCCACGGCUCAACCGUGGAGGGGUCAUUGGAAACUGGGAAACUUGAGUACAGAAGAGGAAAGUGGAAUUUCCAUGUGUAGCGGUGAAAUGCGCAGAGAUAUGGAGGAACACCAGUGGCGAAGGCGACUUUCUGGUCUGUAACUGACGCUGAUGUGCGAAAGCGUGGGGAUCAAACAGGAUUAGAUACCCUGGUAGUCC